rnacentral:rRNA from 1 species
AUUGAACGCUGGCGGCAUGCCUUACACAUGCAAGUCGAACGGUAACAAGUCUUCGGAUGCUGACGAGUGGCGAACGGGUGAGUAAUACAUCGGAACGUGCCUAGUAGUGGGGGAUAACUACUCGAAAGAGUGGCUAAUACCGCAUGAGAUCUACGGAUGAAAGCAGGGGAUCGCAAGACCUUGUGCUACUAGAGCGGCCGAUGGCAGAUUAGGUAGUUGGUGGGAUAAAAGCUUACCAAGCCGACGAUCUGUAGCUGGUCUGAGAGGACGAUCAGCCACACUGGGACUGAGACACGGCCCAGACUCCUACGGGAGUCAGCAGUGGGGAAUUUUGGACAAUGGGCGCAAGCCUGAUCCAGCAAUGCCGCGUGCAGGAUGAAGGCCUUCGGGUUGUAAACUGCUUUUGUACGGAACGAAAAGCCCCGGGUUAAUACCCUGGGGUCAUGACGGUACCGUAAGAAUAAGCACCGGCUAACUACGUGCCAGCCGCCGCCGUAA